rnacentral:lncRNA from 1 species
UUGACAGUUUGGCUUCCCUGUUCUGGGUGGCAAAGCCUGUGGAGUACUCACCUACCUGCUGCAUGAAGGCAGCAUGGAGGGACUGUGGUGGAUUAUCUGCAAAGAUGGCCAAAAUUCUCUCAUCCCUGCAGGCACAUACAAGAGAAGAACUGAAGCUCAGCUAUUCACCCUACAGAAAGCCUGAAUUUUGUAAAAGUUCUGCUUAGAAUGAGGAAGAAAGAUGAAGAAUGAGGAGGAAGAAGGGAGGAACAAGAGAGAGAGGUGAGCAGUAAAUGUGUUUGCUAUUUCCCCAAAAGGAAAUUGAGGUAUACGGAAUGCUUAUUUGGUUUACUCAGUAUCAUCCUAAAUGUAUGUACCAAUGCUUAGGAGUUUGCAGUUCACCCGCAAACCUCAGCGAUCCAAGCUCCCCUGGAUGACCAUCACUCACCAAGAAAAGAACAAUAACAGGACCUGUUUUGCUAAUCCAGGACUGUUCUCCAGCACUAACUCUAAAUAAUCCCUUCUGCUAGAGUCCACUUUCUGGAACCUGUUGCCUCCGUUUUCAACGUUUCCCAAACUUGGUCCGUUGUGUGAGCUGGCUGAUAAAAGUUCCAGGGAGAGGACAUCUUACUCUUAUUGGAUCAUGCACAGUGCCUGAAGCAUUCUGUUGCAUGUAGAAAUCAGUAAAUUGCAGAUGUAAGAUUCAAAACCAGACUUCACAUCUACCGACUUCAGUGACCCUGAAAUUUGUUCACAGAGAGCAUUUAACAUAACUGUCUUCAUCAUCUCCUUCUCUACAUUAAAAAUUAUGGUUCACACAGACGUUAUUGGUGAUUCACUCUUGAGUCAUGAAAAGUCAACCUUG